UACGUAGGGUGCGAGCGUUGUCCGGAAUUAUUGGGCGUGAAGGGCUCGUAGGCGGUCUGUCACGUCGGGAGUGAAAACUCGGGGCUUAACCCCGAGCCUGCUUCCGAUACGGGCAGACUAGAGGUAUGCAGGGGAGAACGGAAUUCCUGGUGUAGCGGUGAAAUGCGCAGAUAUCAGGAGGAACACCGGUGGCGAAGGCGGUUCUCUGGGCAUUACCUGACGCUGAGGAGCGAAAGUGUGGGGAGCGAACAGG
rnacentral:rRNA from 1 species